rnacentral:lncRNA from 1 species
UUUCCCAGAAAGCAUAUGCAUACAUCUUUGUUUUGUUUUUAAUAUGAGUAUUUAUUAUUUUUUUAAAUGUUUCUAGACUUACUUCAGAAACUCCAAUAAUCCUAUGGAGCAGCAAACUGCAAAGAAAUAUCUUGACAGAGUAAUAUUUUUAAUCUCCAAAAAUAUUAUAUUGCCUAUGGGCACUGGGUUAAACAACCCCUACGGGGCCUGCCUAACCAAUUCUGUGUAACCAAUCCUUAUAUCUCCAAUGUGAAUACAUCUUUCUCACAGAUGGAUAACAGGUGCUCAGCUGUUGGAAAGGACAAGGAUUCAUGGGCCUGGAAGGUUCAGUGCUUUUGCAAUAUGUUCC